rnacentral:rRNA from 1 species
CCCUUAGAUGUUCUGGGCCGCACGCGUGUUACACUGACGCAUUCAUCGAGCUUAACACCUUGGCAGACAUGCUUGGGUAAUCUUUUGAAAGUGCGUCGUGAUGGGGAUAGAUGAUUGCAAUUAUUCAUCUUCAACGAGGAAUGCCUAGUAAACGCAAGUCAUCAGCUUGCAUUGAUUACGUCCCUGCCCUUUGUACACACCGCCCGUCGCUACUACCGAUUGAAUGGUUUAGUGAGGACUCCUGAUUGGCGCCGCCGCCCCGGCAACGGAGCAGCGGACUGCCGAAAAGUUGUUCAAACUUGAUCAUUUAGAGGAAGUAAAAGUCGUAACA